GACGAACGCUGGCGGCGUGCUUAACACAUGCAAGUCGAACGAUGAAGCCGGAGCUUGCUCUGGUGAAUUAGUGGCGAACGGGUGAGUAACACGUGAGUAACCUGCCCUUGACUCUGGGAUAACUGCGGGAAACUGUAGCCAAUACCGGAUACGACCCUCGGAGGCAUCUCCUGGGGGUGGAAAGAAUUUCGGUCAAGGAUGGACUCGCGGCCUAUCAGCUAGUUGGUGAGGUAAAGGCUCACCAAGGCGACGACGGGUAGCCGGCCUGAGAGGGUAACCGGCCACACUGGGACUGAGACACGGCCCAGACUCCUACGGGAGGCAGCAGUGGGGAAUAUUGCACAAUGGGCGCAAGCCUGAUGCAGCAACGCCGCGUGAGGGAUGACGGCCUUCGGGUUGUAAACCUCUUUUAGCAGGGAAGAAGCGAAAGUGACGGUACCUGCAGAAAAAGCACCGGCUAACUACGUGCCAGCCGCCGCGGUAA
rnacentral:rRNA from 1 species